AUUUUGUUUCGCUUUUUGUGCUUCCUUUUAUGUAUCAGAGUGGGACUUCUGUGUUGUAUUGUGGAUCUUUGUGUGUCUGUCUCUGUUGAUUACUUUCAGGUGUGGUGCUGGAAAGGGUGUGGCUCCCAUUGGACCCAAGCUGAUGGAGGGAGCCUUUAAAAGCACUGUAAGGACCUCAAUCCUAUGAGAAGGGUGUUUUGAUGCAACCUGGUGCCUGUCUGUGUUGUACAUUGAAGUUCUUAGUAGUGUUCUGUGUUCAGGCCCAUUCUAUGUGGUCUAGUUUGUGGUGUUAAUUUUAAAGUGAAGCUGUAAGGAUGAACUGCCAUUUUCUCUUAUGUUUCUCCUGUUUCUGUUAGCCCAGGAAGGUUUGUCAUUGUUUUGCCUUUUCUUUUGCAGGCACCACGGAAGAUGAAGUAUGGCACACAUUAUCAACCACCAUAUUUGGCUACUCUCCCAACAUCAUUAUAUGCAACAGCAGUUUUACAACUCAGAUACAGCAGUGUGGUCCGACCUAAUGGGGAACAGCAUUGGAGGCGUUGCACUUGGUUCUUAAUAGUGUGUUGGUCUCACAUGCAGACAUGCAGACAAGCGGGACCCCAGCAAGAGUCCAUUCAGGUCCAGCAGAGGACAUAUGAAUAUAUAUAUAUGGCACAGGUAAUUGUAAUGCACCUACAAGCCCUAGCUUGCCAGAGAAUAUGUACCGGUAAUACCUCCAUUUGAUCUGCAAUGGCUAAGGGUAGGGUUUUACUUUGUCAUAAAACCUUUAAAUAAUAUCAACAAGUGAAACCUAUGACUUCAACUUAUGAAAUGUUGACUUUUGAUUGGCUUUGUUCUAGUCUUAAGUUACCUUUUGCAUGUCUUAGUUCUGAUUUUCUAGAAAUGGUUACUAUAGUCUAUUGUUGCUUUGGCGAUUAUUUCACGGCAACAGAUUGUGACUUGUUGUAAACAAAAUUGUGGGAAAAAAUAAAUAGUUGACAGUUUGCACAUGGAAAAAUGAAUUGAAUUUGGCUGAGCAUAAGUGUUUCAAUAGACAAUGCAGGUCAGUGGUUCUUUUACCAGCUGAAGCAACCUUAAAGGGAGAAGUGUGUUAUAGAGGUGGC
rnacentral:lncRNA from 1 species